CAAUAGCGUAUAUUUAAGUUGCUGCAGUUAAAAAGCUCGUAGUUGGAUUUCGGGUGGGAAUGGCCGGUCCGCCGUUUCUGUGUGCACUUGCUACGCCCACCUUGCUGCCGGGGACGUGCUCUUGAGUUCACGCUCGGGACACGGAGUCGGCGAGGUUACUUUGAGUAAAUUAGAGUGUUCAAAGCAGGCCUACGCUCUGAAUACAUUAGCAUGGAAUAACACGAUAGGACUCUGGCCUAUCUUGUUGGUCUGUAGGACCGGAGUAAUGAUUAAGAGGGACAGUCGGGGGCAUUCGUAUUUCAUUGUCAGAGGUGAAAUUCUUGGAUUUAUGAAAGACGAACUACUGCGAAAGCAUUUGCCAAGGAUGUUUUCAUUAA
rnacentral:rRNA from 1 species